rnacentral:hammerhead_ribozyme from 1 species
AUACUGCUGAGGAGUCCCAUACCAGGACGAAACGGCCGUCCAAU